CGCUACAAUGAAAUUGAUUACCCUUAGUAAAUAAUUAACGUAUAGCGUCAGAAAGAUUUUACACAAACAGAAAAACCUCUUCAAAAUUUGUUAUUGUUAACCUGACAUAUCCAACUUCAAGAAAUAACCAGGAAGGAGAUCUGGAAAUAAAAAAGAAAAGUUGUUUUUUCUAAAAAUACUAAAUUAGAGUUUUUAACUUUCAAUUUAAGUUUUUAAUUUUAAUACCUUUUUUAAUUGCGAUAGCGCGAUGGUUUGGUUUCGGCUCAGCCCUACGGCAUUCAAAAGUCACAUUAAUAAAGUUAUUUUAAGAUAACAAGUGCUAUCUUAAGAUAACUCUAUUAAUGUGAUUUCGGAAUGCGUGUAUAUUCACAUAAAUGUCUUGAUUGUAAGAUAACUCGAGUUAUUUUAAGAUAACAUAAAUGUGAUAAUUCUAUCUUUUCUAAUGCGCAUAUGUGUAAAUGAACGUUGCUUAGGGUGCGGAUACGUAAAGUAGCUCACAAAACAACAGCCUACAUGAAUUUCCGGCCGUAUUGACAUUUAUUUUGAUACGUCAUUUGUAUUGUCCUUGUGGUGUCGCGUAUGUGCUCUGCUGUAGAGUUCGCUCUGCGGUGGAGAACAAGAUGCAUUUUGUUAGUUUUGUGUUGUGAUGUAUUGUCCCGUGUUAAUUAUGUAAAGAGAAUAAUUGUAAUUUUGGUACUAUUUUUAGUUAAAUUUUCUGCACAUCUUGCACAUCUUUUUUCUGCGCAUUCAGUCUUCAACAUGUAAUGACAGAGUCGAACAUACAUUUUUGUAUAAAAUUUGCUGUUGAGUGAAAUUUUUCUUUCAUACAUCACAGGAGUUGUCCUGUAUCUCAGCGUCUGUUUUAGUUGUUUUCUCUCACAUGUAGUUGGCUUGGCUUACGCCACUAUAUAUCUAGUUAAAUCUUGGCAUUCAUUUUUUUGCUUUGCUAAAUUGUAUUUUUGGUAAUAUAGAACAGACAGCCAAUUACUGAUAUGAAAAAUCGUAAGAAUAAUAUUAAACGAAGAUCCAUACAAUGUAAAUUGGAGAAACUGAUUACAUUACAACGAACGAGUGAAUGAUCAGUGAAAAACAAUCUAAGAAAUGUAUGGAUGCUGAGUCGUUUACAACACAUGUAAAAAAGUGCGCCAAAUAUAAUUUUUUUAAAAAAAUCUGCCGAAUUUAUGGA